rnacentral:rRNA from 1 species
AACGAACGUUGGCGGCGUGGAUUAGGCAUGCAAGUCGAGCGAAUCCCAGCAAUGGGGGAAGCGGCGAAAGGGGCAGUAAGGCAUGGGUAACCUACCCUGGGGACUGGGAUAGCCCUUCGAGAGAAGGGGUAAUACCGGGCGACGUGCCGAGGAGGCAUCUCCUUGUCACCAAAUGAGUUUCGCCCUGGGAGGGGCCCAUGUGAUAUUAGCUAGUUGGUGGGGUAACGGCCCACCAAGGCGAAGAUGUCUAGCGGGUGUGAGAGCACGACCCGCGCCACUGGCACUGAGACACUGGCCAGACACCUACGGGUGGCUGCAGUCGAGGAUCUUCGGCAAUGGGCGCAAGCCUGACCGAGCGACGCCGCGUGUGCGAUGAAGGCCUUCGGGUUGUAAAGCACUGUCGAGAGGGAGAAAAGCGCAAGCUUGAUCUAUCUCUGGAGGAAGCACGGGCUAAGUUCGUGCCAGCAGCCGCCGUAAAAC